GACGAACGCUGGCGGCGUGCCUAAUACAUGCAAGUUGAGCGCUGAAGGUUGGUACUUGUACCAACUGGAUGAGCAGCGAACGGGUGAGUAACGCGUGGGGAAUCUGCCUUUGAGCGGGGGACAACAUUUGGAAACGAAUGCUAAUACCGCAUAAAAACUUUAAACACAAGUUUUAAGUUUGAAAGAUGCACUUGCAUCACUCAAAGAUGAUCCCGCGUUGUAUUAGCUAGUUGGUGAGGUAAAGGCUCACCAAGGCGAUGAUACAUAGCCGACCUGAGAGGGUGAUCGGCCACAUUGGGACUGAGACACGGCCCAAACUCCUACGGGAGGCAGCAGUAGGGAAUCUUCGGCAAUGGACGAAAGUCUGACCGAGCAACGCCGCGUGAGUGAAGAAGGUUUUCGGAUCGUAAAACUCUGUUGGUAGAGAAGAACGUUGGUGAGAGUGGAAAGCUCAUCAAGUGACGGUAACUACCCAGAAAGGGACGGCUAACUACGUG
rnacentral:rRNA from 1 species